rnacentral:rRNA from 1 species
UACGUAGGUGGCAAGCGUUGUCCGGAAUUAUUGGGCGUAAAGCGCGCGCAGGCGGUCCUUUAAGUCUGAUGUGAAAGCCCACGGCUCAACCGUGGAGGGUCAUUGGAAACUGGGGGACUUGAGUACAGAAGAGAAGAGUGGAAUUCCACGUGUAGCGGUGAAAUGCGUAGAUAUCUGGAGGAACACCGGUGGCGAAGGCGGCAUUCUAGGACCGACAUUGACGGCUGAGGAGCGAAAGCCAGGGGAGCAAACGGG